UAUAUAUCGUGCCGCUAUGGUG
rnacentral:rRNA from 1 species